rnacentral:rRNA from 1 species
AACGCGAAGAACCUUACCAGGUCUUGACAUCUCCUGCAUAGCCUAGAGAUAGGUGAAGCCCUUCGGGGCAGGAAGACAGGUGGUGCAUGGUUGUCGUCAGCUCGUGUCGUGAGAUGUUGGGUUAAGUCCCGCAACGAGCGCAACCCUUACUAUUAGUUGCUACGCAAGAGCACUCUAAUGGGACUGCCGUUGACAAAACGGAGGAAGGUGGGGAUGACGUCAAAUCAUCAUGCCCUUUAUGACCUGGGCUACACACGUAAUACAAUGGCAAUUAACAACGGGGCGCAAUACCGCGAGGUGGAGCAAAUCCCAAAAAAUUGUCUCAGUUCGGAUCGCAGGCUGCAACUCGCCUGCGUGAAGUCGGAAUUGCUAGUAAUCGCGGAUCAGCAUGCCGCGGUGAAUACGUUCCCGGGUCUUGUACACACCG